GCUGCCCUGUUUCCGCUUCUGGGGGGAAGGGAACGGGGGAGAGGAAAGUCCGGGCAACACAGGGCAUCCCGCUUCCUAACGGGAAGAGGUCCGCGAGGGUCUGUAGGUGCAGAAGAAAACAACCGCCCGUUUGAAAUGUCGAAACAUCAGAAAGUUGAAACGUUGAAAUGGGUAAGGGUGAGAAGGUGAGGCAAGAGCUUACCAGGCCGGCAGCGAUGUCGGUGCUGUGCACUCCGGGAGUUGAAAGUUCAUGUAAACCGGCAAAGCUUGGCACGACCCAAAGUCGGCCGAGAGAGAAGGCGGCCCGUCUGAGCCGGAGGGUAGAACGAUAGAGGGCAGCGGCAACGCUGUCCGUAGAUAAAUGGCAAGCAUUUCAGGCUGACUGAAAUACAGAACCCGGCUUACAGGUUCGCU
rnacentral:RNase_P_RNA from 1 species